rnacentral:SRP_RNA from 1 species
GCCAGGCAUGGUGGCUCAUGCCUGUAAUCCCAGCACUUUGGGAGGCUGAGGCAGGUGGAUCACCUGAGGUCAGGAGAUCGAGACCAGCCUGGCCAAUAUGGUGAAAUCCUGUCUCUA